ACGUGAUGAUUCGCCAUGGAGGCCCUGGGCAGCAGCGCCGGGUGGUCGCGUGAAACGACGGUGGGCCUCGCGCGCGUUGGCGUGGCUACUGCUCGCGGCGUACUUUGGCUUCGGGCGGCGGCGCGAAGGGCGGUUCCCAGCGCCGCUCAGGCUCUGGUGGGCAGCGUAGCGUCUGGCAAGAAACCACUGUGGCAAGAGAUCAUGGACGGGUGCAGGCCGGCCACAGUGACCGUGAGCGACCACUCGGCAGCGACGAACUGCUCAUCGCCGACGAGCGUGCGGGCAUCGCCUACGGCACCCGCAUCAAAUGAUUUCGUUUACGCUUCAAAGAAACUGGCUGGUUGCUGCAGACGAUACUUCCAUGGCCCUUCUCGGUGCGCGGACGCCGAAACGGCCACGUGCGCUCCCCGGAGCGGGCGCGCGGCUCGGCCCCGGAGCGGGCGGGCGAGCGGCCUCGGCCAAAGGGCUCCCCAGGCGCGGCUGCUCCCUGGCGGCGGGCGCGUCCGGCCACGACGGCGCGGGCGUGACCCGGCCGCGGGCUCGGGCGCCGGCCACGGCGGCGCGGGCACGACCCGGCCGCGGGUGGUGCAGCAGCGGCUCGGCGCGGUCGAACUCCCUGGCACGCGCAUCGCCUCGGCGGCGGCUGCGUCCGUACUCUCUAACAGCAGCGGUCUGGCAGCCGGCGGCGCCUACGAUGUGGUGGCGGUGGUGUGCGGUUAGUCCCUAACCUUGCCAACCGGUUGGGCCAUAUGCGAGCGACCAGGGGAGCACCCGUGCAUGAGCUUGGGAGAUGGGCCUGCCGCACAACAACCAAGUGCUAUUUUCUUAAUAUUAUUGUCCGUUGUACUAUUCCGUACUAAAAAGCAUAAUUAUAUACAUCACCAGUUUACUUCUCUGAUGUACUACAUUAUAUUUAUACCAUAUUAAUAAAUAUAUGUAUUUGUUUAUACA